AUUGAACGCUGGCGGAAUGCUUUACACAUGCAAGUCGAACGGCAGCACGGGUGUUGCACCUGGUGGCGAGUGGCGAACGGGUGAGUAAUACAUCGGAACGUACCCAGUCGUGGGGGAUAACGUAGCGAAAGUUACGCUAAUACCGCAUACGUCCUGAGGGAGAAAGCGGGGGACCGUAAGGCCUCGCGCGAUUGGAGCGGCCGAUGGCGGAUUAGCUAGUUGGUGGGGUAAAGGCCUACCAAGGCGACGAUCCGUAGCGGGUCUGAGAGGACGGCCCGCCACACUGGAACUGAGACACGGUCCAGACUCCUACGGGAGGCAGCAGUGGGGAAUUUUGGACAAUGGGCGAAAGCCUGAUCCAGCCAUUCCGCGUGAGUGAAGAAGGCCUUCGGGUUGUAAAGCUCUUUCGGCAGGGAAGAAACGGCUUGGGAUAAUACCCCGGGCUAAUGACGGUACCUGAAGAAGAAGCACCGGCUAACUACGUGCCAGCCGCCGCGGUAA
rnacentral:rRNA from 1 species